AACGAACGCUGGCGGCAUGCCUAACACAUGCAAGUCGAACGAGACCUUCGGGUCUAGUGGCGCACGGGUGCGUAACGCGUGGGAAUCUACCCUCAGGUUCGGAAUAACUCAGAGAAAUUUGAGCUAAUACCGGAUGAUGACGUAAGACCAAAGAUUUAUCGCCUGAGGAUGAGCCCGCGUAGGAUUAGGUAGUUGGUGAGGUAAAGGCUCACCAAGCCGACGAUCCUUAGCUGGUCUGAGAGGAUGAUCAGCCACACUGGGACUGAGACACGGCCCAGACUCCUACGGGAGGCAGCAGUGGGGAAUAUUGGACAAUGGGCGAAAGCCUGAUCCAGCAAUGCCGCGUGAGUGAUGAAGGCCUUAGGGUUGUAAAGCUCUUUUACCCGGGAUGAUAAUGACAGUACCGGGAGAAUAAGCUCCGGCUAACUCCGUG
rnacentral:rRNA from 1 species